rnacentral:rRNA from 1 species
GAUGAACGCUGGCGGCGUGCUUAACACAUGCAAGUCGAACGGGAUCCAAGGGGUGCUUGCACUUUUUGGUGAGAGUGGCGAACGGGUGAGUAACACGUGAGUAACCUGUCCUUUUCUUUGGGAUAAGCAUUCGAAAGGGUGUUUAAUACCUUAUGUUCUGUCUGCCUCGCAUGGGGUGGGUGGGAAAGGCUUUGGCCGGAUUUGGGUGGGCUCGCGGUCUAUCAGCUUGUUGGUGGGGUGAUGGCUUACCAAGGCUUUGACGGGUAGCCGGCCUGAGAGGGUGGUCGGUCACAUUGGGACUGGGAUACGGCCCAGACUCCUGCGGGAGGCAGCAGUGGGGGAUAUUGCACAAUGGGCGAAAGCCUGAUGCAGCGACGCCGCGUGGGGGAUGAAGGCCUGCGGGUUGUAAACUUCUUUUGCUCUGAACAAGGCAUGCCAGUGGGUGUGUUGAGUGUAGGGGUUGAUUAGCGCCGGCUAACUACGUG